GGACGAACCAAGCGGAAGCUGGUGGGCCUAUGGCAGCCCGUGGUACGAGCUGUGAGGGUGUAGAAGAAAGGCCCAAAACCCGACAUCCGGGGGCAUGGGAAUGAACUAAUCCCAAAUCAGAAUGGGAGACAGAGUUAAUGGUUCUUAUAUUGGGAAGUCUUGGUCAAUUGGGUAGCGCGCUUUUGGGUGUGAAAAGCCCAAUGGGACAAAUUCGUGAGGCUUAUGGGGGUCAAAGCGAACAAUACUAUCCAGUCGGCCAAGCCUUACAUAUAGUCCAGUCUACACCUCCAUUUGGUGUCAGGUUAGGUGAUGGACACUAAGCUGAAUCUAAGCGUAUGUGUACUAAUCUCAGCAUAGACCCUGGCUCUUUGGAGGUUGACUGCCGAUUUUCAUGUUUUUUCUCUUGAAGGGGUGCAUGAUAUUCUUAGGGUAGCAAGGUCCGGAACCUUGGGUGAUUUGCAAGUCAAUUGGUC
rnacentral:misc_RNA from 1 species